GUGAGGUGGCUCACUCCUGUAAUCCCAGCACUGUGGGAGGCCGAGGCGGGCAGAUCACUUGAGCCCAGGAGUUCCAGAUCAGUUUGGCCAGCAUGGUCAAAUCCCGUAUCUUCUAAAAAUAUAAAAAUUAUCCAGGUAUGGUGUGGCAUCCUCCUGUAGUCCCAGCUACUUGGGGGGCUGAGGCGGGAGGAUCACUUGAACCCUGGAGGCAGAGGUUGGAGCCGAGGUCACACAACAAUACUCCAGCCUGAGCAACAGAAUGAGACUGUCUAAAAACAACAACAACAACAACAACAACAAAAACCUCACAGCUAGGAGAAACUGCAUGGCAUCGUCUCUGCUUUCAACACUAGUAAGAAUGGUAAAUGCUUCCCACUGCUGCUUUUCUCCGGGUGCCUGAACAUUCCUGUUUAGCCCUCAGCCCAGCCUACCUGUCUGCUACAAGUGGAGAAAGCUGAAUGAAAAAUGAUAGAGUUACUACUGAAAUAUUUACAGAUGGAAGGAUAUGAUGUCCAGAAUUUGUUUCAAACAGUGAGUAUGUGGGUGGGGCAAGUAGCUGGUGAUGCAGAUGGGAUAGGACUGGUGACAGGUAAAUGUUUUAAGGUGCUGUGUACUAGUACAUGAGGCUCAUUAUUUUAUUCGGUCUACUUUGCAUAUGUUUAAAAUUUGUCACAAUAUUUUUAAAAAUUGGAUGAAUACACUAUUUAAAAUAUGCAUGUGUGAAGCAAAGACUGAAAGGGAACACAAAAAAAUAAAGUUAUGUGGGUUUAGAGUAGUUGAAUUACCGGUGAAUUACCUUUUAAAACUUUAAUAUUAUUCUAAUUUUAUCUUUCAAUAAAUAAAAAUCCAAAGGAAAAACACAUACAAAAACUCUUUGAAGGUAAGGACCAGUGGUGCUGGAGCUGGCUUGUAUCAGCUUGAGAAAACUGAUGGUUAAAUUUUCAGGAAUUUUUGCAUCCUUGCUAAUGUUAUGUGGGCAGCUGGAAAUUGACCAUGGUGGGAGUAUUUAUAACUGUAAAUCAGCAAAUACUAGAAAUCAGUACUCCCAAAAGCCAGUUGUUAAACAUUUAUCAAUGUGGGCUGUAUUGUAAGGACUGUAUUACAUACUUUUCUACCUCAAAUUAUCUAAAGGUCCCAAAAUCAAUGAGCAGGCACUUACUAAUUUAUUUUACACAUAUUUAAUGAGAUUCUACCAUGGGCAAGAAUUUUGUGCUAGGCACUUUGGGGGAUACAAACAGUUAUU